GUGCUUGCUUUGACAGCACAUACACUAAAACUGGAAUGAUACAGAGAAGAUUAGCAUGGCCACUAUGCAAGAAUGACAUGAAAAUUCAUAAAGCAUUGCAUAUUAAA
rnacentral:snRNA from 1 species